UUGACCUCGGAUCAGGCAGGGAUACCCGCUGAACUUAAGCAUACCAAUAAGCGGAGGAAAAGAAACCAACAGGGAUUGCCUCAGUAACGGCGAGUGAAGCGGCAACAGCUCAAAUUUGAAAUCUGGCUCUUUUAGGGUCCGAGUUGUAAUUUGUAGAGGAUGCUUCGGCGCCGGCUCCGGUCUAAGUUCCUUGGAACAGGACGUCAUAGAGGGUGAGAAUCCCGUAUGUGAUCGGUUGCCCUUGCCAUGUGAAGCUCCUUCGACGAGUCGAGUUGUUUGGAAUGCAGCUCUAANUGGGAGGUAAAUUUCU
rnacentral:rRNA from 1 species